GUGGGGAAUAUUGGGCAAUGGGGGAAACCCUGACCCAGCAACGCCGCGUGAAGGAAGAAGGCUUUCGGGUUGUAAACUUCUUUGACCAGGGACGAAACAAAUGACGGUACCUGGAAAACAAGCCACGGCUAACUACGUGCCAGCAGCCGCGGUAAUACGUAGGUGGCAAGCGUUGUCCGGAUUUACUGGGUGUAAAGGGCGCGUAGGCGGGAUGGCAAGUCAGAUGUGAAAUGCCGGGGCUUAACCUCGGCACUGCAUUUGAAACUGCUGUUCUUGAGUAUCGGAGAGGCAGGCGGAAUUCCUAGUGUAGCGGUGAAAUGCGUAGAUAUUAGGAGGAACACCAGUGGCGAAGGCGGCCUGCUGGACGACAACUGACGCUGAGGCGCGAAAGUGUGGGGAGCAAACAGGAUUAGAUACCCGAGUAGUCC
rnacentral:rRNA from 1 species